rnacentral:rRNA from 1 species
GAUGAACGCUGGCGGCGUGCCUAAUACAUGCAAGUCGAGCGAACGGACGAGGAGCUUGCUCCUCUGACGUUAGCGGCGGACGGGUGAGUAACACGUGGAUAACCUACCUAUAAGACUGGGAUAACUUCGGGAAACCGGAGCUAAUACCGGAUAAUAUAUUGAACCGCAUGGUUCAAUAGUGAAAGACGGUUUUGCUGUCACUUAUAGAUGGAUCCGCGCCGCAUUAGCUAGUUGGUAAGGUAACGGCUUACCAAGGCAACGAUGCGUAGCCGACCUGAGAGGGUGAUCGGCCACACUGGAACUGAGACACGGUCCAGACGCCUACGAGAGGCAGCAGUAGGGAAUCUUCCGCAAUGGGCGAAAGCUUGACGGAGCAACGCCGCGUGAGUGAUGAAGGUCUUCGGAUCGUAAAACUCUGUUAUUAGGGAAGAACAAAUGUGUAAGUAACUAUGCACGUCUUGACGGUACCUAAUCAGAAAGCCACGGCUAACUACGUG